AUAUAUCAGCAUUUGAAAGUUCCUUGAAGAUUUUCCAGCCACCCAACUUAACAGAGGAAGAUCCUGAGGCCUAGGUAAGGAAAGGAAGCAAGGCCGGGUCGAGUGUUGAUUCCACGCUCUUUACACUUCACAGUGCUGCUGUUCACAGCUAGAGACUUCCUGCUUCCUGGGCACCAGGCCAGUGCCAGGUACAGGAGAUGCAGCACGAGACAGAGCACACCUAAGAGAGGGGUGAUAAUGAACAGAAGAGCCGGGAGUUAACAGGCUAGCCAUAUGGUCAGUAUGUGGACACUGCUCUGACAACUCCUCCAAGGGUCAUGUCACCAAGGGACUAGUGGCUGACUGCUCCUUGCAUGACUCAGGAAGUGGGGCUUCUUCUCUUUUAUUCACCAAGUCUCUUUGUCUUUGAAUAUGUGAGCUGCAGAUUUGCAUAGCCACUGCCAGCACUGGCUCUCUCCCAAGGACCCAUAAGGCCCUUAAACCUAUCCCAUCUCCAGUAGGCUUUCUCAAACUAUGUUUCCCCUUCCCCCACUGCCAGGACACAGAUCUUCAUCUCUAUCCUGUAUAAGGAAGCAUUAAAACUUAAUAAUUACUGUGUUAUACCAGACCUGGCCCCCAGUAGCACUGAGUUGACUCUGUCUGACACCACCUAGGUGUCAUAGCCACCAGCUACUUGAUCCUGGUACCUCUGUAUGUCCCACUUGGUUUCCACCCUGAGAGAGAGCUAUCAGUGUACUGCAGGAAUGAGCCACCACUGCUCCAUGGAUCUUACUCCACAUAGUGAGUAUACCACUCAGAGCACCAGUUAGAAAUUGGUUCUGUGUUGUAUCAGUGAGGCUUCAAGAGGUGAACAGCUAAUCAGGCAUAGUGGAACCACAGACUACUCAGCGUCACUGCCCUAUGAUCCAUCUCUUUGGGUUGCCUCUAGAGCAGCUCCAGCUGGCAGCUAGGUGAUAAAUAUAAUCCUGUGAUUAUGUCUCUUUAUGCAACACAAAUACUAUCCUGUUAUAUAUACCAGAACCAGGAAGACUUUGCCUCCAAACACUGGCCAGGCCCCUGCCCAACUAAGUAACCUCAGGCAGGUAAUCUCACCUGGCAGAGCCUCGAUUUCCUUGUCUGUGAAAUGGAGGUCAUCAUAAAGCCUACCUCACAGGUUGCCAUAGAGAAUAAGCAGGAUAAUGCAUGUAAAACCAGCCAACACUCUGAGUGCUCAGCAAGAGGUAGUUGGUUUUAAUCACUGCACCUGCUUUCCUCCAAGAGCUGAUUCCCAUCUGCAUGUCUUAGGGGAGGAAAAUCUUGAGCUAGUAUGCACGAAGACCAACUUCAUUGUGUCUCUUCGCCUUCACAGGCCUCUCCGCUCAUCUGCGUUCCUGUGCUAAUCAGAAUUUCCUGACUUCUCCCUGUUUGUCUCCGUUAAUGCUGAAAAAAGGGGCUCCUGGCACAGAUGAGCUGAGGCGUGGGCUGACGCGCCUGUGAUUGGAAUGUCUUUACUAUAAUCUAGCGAGUGUGUGCAGGGGGCCUGUCAAUACUGGAGCUGUGGCCAGAAUGGGCAAAUACCAGAAGCCCGGCCAUCUCUGGCCCACAAAUCAUCUGAAGAGCUCUGGGUGGGCGCCCACAUUUGCCCUAACUUAAAAUCAUCCGAAUAGCGAGGAGACUUCACAAGGAGACAUUGAUUCUUUAUUUAGGGCUUGUUACAGAGAGUCAGCCCCCAGCAUGCCUCAGCUACUCCAUACUUGCUACAGAAAGCUCUUUUGGUCCUGUCAAGGGUGGCUUGUCCCAGCCCUGUCAGGGUUAUCUGUUUGGCUGUGGGGUGAUCCUUCUUCCUACAUCCACCUCAAGACCCCAAUGUGUACUGUGCUCAGACUUGAACUUGGGAGUCAUUAAACUGGAGAUCUCUGAGACUUUAGGCUACAGGCUUCUCCAUGUGGGUGUUCCUCCCUCAUGGAUGGGGAUGAUAAGUGAAGGCCUUAGCAGGGGUGGGACAUGCUGGCUGUCACAGAGUGAGUCCUCCACUGACAGGAUCCUUUCUCUCUGUGCUCUUGCUGCCAGUGUUAUAGCGAGGGAGCCCACUCCUCCCUCCCCCAAUAAACACACACACCCGCUCCACAGCACAAGGGAAGUCACUUGGGCAGCUGCCCAGCUGACCUGUGAGGGGCAGCCUUCAGACCAGCACAGCCUAUCUAGGAGGGCUGCUGAAGGUCCUGCAGGGAAUUUGGAAGUAUUUCAGUAAAAUGCAACCACGAUGGGGACUAUUUGUAAUGAAUGCUGCCAGAGUCUCCGGCUUUCUUAGGAUUGGCCUAGGCUGGUCGCUCUCACCCCUGCCAGUGGUUCUUGGCUUCUACACUGCAGUUAGUUUGUAAUGUCAUUGGGGAGUUAGAAGUAUCCCAGGUAAUUGCCAAGGUAAGACUGAUUGACCUAGAGCAUUCUGUCUAUCCCAGCCUGGUUGCCAGCAAUCCCAUGAGGCAGGUAGUUAUACCUGUGCUAAAGAUGGCUAAGUAUGGAACAUGGGGACAGCUGGGUCAGGAAGCAUCUGUGUGUCCCUCUCUCCAUGCACCUGCCAUGUCAUCUAGGAGCUUGCAGUGGUCUGGGAAAGCAUGUCUGCCCAUGGGUAGUAUUUAUGAAAGAGCUGGAGCCCUCUUACCUGAGCCAGCUAGCAAGGUUUUCUGAGGAAAAUGACAGAGGCUCUGGAAAAGGAGGGAAGGAGGUAGAUUAGAUCCCACUAACAAGGGGAAGGCAGCUGUGGAAGACCCAAUCCAGCUAAGACCCUAAGUCAGAAAGGCAGGUAAGUCAGCUGCAGAGCUACCUGCUAAGCAUGUAACCUAGAAGAAAUGCGGUAGGAUGGGUGUGGGAAUGAGCCCCUGGGUUGGUCUUGAUAGCCUGUACUUUAUGCAGUCAAUCAAGGCCUGCGCUCACAUUGAUAAUCUGCCAUCAUAUUAUAAUUCUUAAGAUUUUCCCUGUGUGUACUUUCUAUGAAGUCCCGUGUGACACUGGGGAUGGAUACCAGCAAAGGAGCUAAGCCUGGCCAUCUCAGUCGCAUAGCAUCACUAGCAUCACCAUGCCCACGUAGCACACAUGGUAUGUGAGAUCAGCAAGAGGUCUUCAGUGGAAUAAGUGGGACCAUCAGCCCAUGGCCAGCCACACUGUGGUUCAUACCAGAACUUGCUUCAAGCACAGCAGGACUGUGGUUUCUUGGUGAGCAAUAUAGGGUCUGAUACAGGCGCUGUCGUGCACUGUGCUCACAUUUCUUGUCCUUAGCCAACUGUGAAAAUGACAUAAAGGAAAGAAACAGAGCAAUCAUGGCCCCCUCUUCCUUUCUGAUCACUAAGGCAGAAAUGUAUGGACUGUAGCUGUAUCAAGAAGUAAAAUUAAGCUGGGCGUAUUGGCGCACGCCUUUAAUCCCAGCACACGGGAGGCAGAGGCAGAGGCAGAGGCAGAGGCAGAGGCAGGCGGAUUUCUGAGUUUGAGGCCAGCCUGGUCUACAGAAUGAGUUCCAGGACAGCCAGGGCUACACAGAGAAACCCUGUCUCAAAAAAACAAAAGAAGAAGAAGAAGAAGGAGAAGGAGAAGGAAGAAGAAGGAAGAAGAAGUAAAAUUAAAUCUGAUAAGAACACAGGAACUGGAGAGAUUGCCCAGUGGUUAAGAACAUGUAAUAUUCUUCCAAAGGACCAGGGUUCCAUUCCCAGCACCCACAGUCUUGUACACAUACACAGAAUCAAAAACAAAAUCUUU
rnacentral:lncRNA from 1 species